GACGUAGGGCGCAAGCGUUGUCCGGAUUUAUUGGGCGUAAAGAGCUCGUAGGCGGCUUGUCGCGUCGACUGUGAAAACCCGCAGCUUAACUGCGGGACUGCAGUCGAUACGGGCAGGCUAGAGUUCGGUAGGGGAGACUGGAAUUCCUGGUGUAGCGGUGAAAUGCGCAGAUAUCAAGUGGAACACCAGUGGCGAAGGCGAGUCCCUGGACAACUCCUGACACUGAGGCACGAAAGCUAGGGGAGCAAACAGG
rnacentral:rRNA from 1 species